rnacentral:sRNA from 1 species
GCUACCAUCGAAUUCGAAAAAAAAAAAAAAACGAAAAAAAA